rnacentral:tRNA from 1 species
GGCCCUGUGGAGCAACGGUCGCGCAUCUGACUCCAGAUCAGAAGUUUGUCCGUUCAAAUCAGGCCGGGGUCA